GAGCCGGAGGGAAACCGAGUCUUAAUUGGGCGUUAAGUUGCAGGGUAUAGACCCGAAACCCGGUGAUCUAGCCAUGGGCAGGUUGAAGGUUGGGUAACACUAACUGGAGGACCGAACCGACUAAUGUUGAAAAAUUAGCGGAUGACCUGUGGCUGGGGGUGAAAGGCCAAUCAAACCGGGAGAUAGCUGGUUCUCCCCGAAAGCUAUUUAGGUAGCGCCUCGUGAAUUCAUCUCCGGGGGUAGAGCACUGUUUCGGCUAGGGGGCCAUCCCGGCUUACCAACCCGAUGCAAACUGCGAAUACCGGAGAAUGUUAUCACGGGAGACACACGGCGGGUGCUAACGUCCGUCGUGAAGAGGGAAACAACCCAGACCGCCAGCUAAGGUCCCAAAGUCAUGGUUAAGUGGGAAACGAUGUGGGAAGGCCCAGACAGCCAGGAUGUUGGCUUAGAAGCAGCCAUCAUUUAAAGAAAGCGUAAUAGCUCACUGGUCGAGUCGGCCUGCGCGGAAGAUGUAACGGGGCUAAACCAUGCACCGAAGCUGCGGCAGCGAACGUAUCACCCAAGACAACUUUACGGAGUUGACGAUUGACGGAGCGAAGCGACGUCAAAGCGUUCAUUAAAGUCGAGUUGGCUUAGGGAUACGUUCGUUGGGUAGGGGAGCGUUCUGUAAGCCUGUGAAGGUGUGUCGUGAGGCAUGCUGGAGGUAUCAGAAGUGCGAAUGCUGACAUAAGUAACGAUAAAGCGGGUGAAAAGCCCGCUCGCCGGAAGACCAAGGGUUCCUGUCCAACGUUAAUCGGGGCAGGGUGAGUCGACCCCUAAGGCGAGGCCGAAAGGCGUAGUCGAUGGGAAACGGGUUAAUAUUCCCGUACUUGGUGUUACUGCGAAGGGGGGACGGAGAAGGCUAUGUUGGCCGGGCGACGGUUGUCCCGGUUUAAGCGUGUAGGUGUGUGUUCCAGGUAAAUCCGGUUCACUUUAACACUGAGGCGUGACGACGAGGCACUACGGUGCUGAAGCAACAAAUGCCCUGCUUCCAGGAAAAGCCUCUAAGCAUCAGGUAACAUCAAAUCGUACCCCAAACCGACACAGGUGGUCAGGUAGAGAAUACCAAGGCGCUUGAGAGAACUCGGGUGAAGGAACUAGGCAAAAUGGUGCCGUAACUUCGGGAGAAGGCACGCUGACACGUAGGUGAAGUGAUUUACUCAUGGAGCUGAAGUCAGUCGAAGAUACCAGCUGGCUGCAACUGUUUAUUAAAAACACAGCACUGUGCAAACACGAAAGUGGACGUAUACGGUGUGACGCCUGCCCGGUGCCGGAAGGUUAAUUGAUGGGGUCAGCGCAAGCGAAGCUCCUGAUCGAAGCCCCGGUAAACGGCGGCCGUAACUAUAACGGUCCUAAGGUAGCGAAAUUCCUUGUCGGGUAAGUUCCGACCUGCACGAAUGGCGUAAUGAUGGCCAGGCUGUCUCCACCCGAGACUCAGUGAAAUUGAACUCGCUGUGAAGAUGCAGUGUACCCGCGGCAAGACGGAAAGACCCCGUGAACCUUUACUAUAGCUUGACACUGAACAUUGAGCCUUGAUGUGUAGGAUAGGUGGGAGGCUUUGAAGUGUGGACGCCAGUCUGCAUGGAGCCGACCUUGAAAUACCACCCUUUAAUGUUUGAUGUUCUAACGUGGACCCGUAAUCCGGGUUGCGGACAGUGUCUGGUGGGUAGUUUGACUGGGGCGGUCUCCUCCUAAAGAGUAACGGAGGAGCACGAAGGUUGGCUAAUCCUGGUCGGACAUCAGGAGGUUAGUGCAAUGGCAUAAGCCAGCUUGACUGCGAGCGUGACGGCGCGAGCAGGUGCGAAAGCAGGUCAUAGUGAUCCGGUGGUUCUGAAUGGAAGGGCCAUCGCUCAACGGAUAAAAGGUACUCCGGGGAUAACAGGCUGAUACCGCCCAAGAGUUCAUAUCGACGGCGGUGUUUGGCACCUCGAUGUCGGCUCAUCACAUCCUGGGGCUGAAGUAGGUCCCAAGGGUAUGGCUGUUCGCCAUUUAAAGUGGUACGCGAGCUGGGUUUAGAACGUCGUGAGACAGUUCGGUCCCUAUCUGCCGUGGGCGCUGGAGAACUGAGGGGGGCUGCUCCUAGUACGAGAGGACCGGAGUGGACGCAUCACUGGUGUUCGGGUUGUCAUGCCAAUGGCACUGCCCGGUAGCUAAAUGCGGAAGAGAUAAGUGCUGAAAGCAUCUAAGCACGAAACUUGCCCCGA
rnacentral:rRNA from 1 species